UUCAAACACAUGAGUCUAUGGGGGGUGU
rnacentral:piRNA from 1 species